rnacentral:rRNA from 1 species
AGUGAACGCUGGCGGUAGGCCUAACACAUGCAAGUCGAACGGCAGCACAGAGGAGCUUGCUCCUUGGGUGGCGAGUGGCGGACGGGUGAGGAAUACAUCGGAAUCUACUCUGUCGUGGGGGAUAACGUAGGGAAACUUACGCUAAUACCGCAUACGACCUACGGGUGAAAGCAGGGGAUCUUCGGACCUUGCGCGAUUGAAUGAGCCGAUGUCGGAUUAGCUAGUUGGCGGGGUAAAGGCCCACCAAGGCGACGAUCCGUAGCUGGUCUGAGAGGAUGAGCAGCAAGACUGGAACUGAGACACGGUCCAGACUCCUACGGGAGGCAGCAGUGGGGAAUAUUUGACAAUGGGCGCAAGCCUGAUCCAGCCAUACCGCGUGGGUGAAGAAGGCCUUCGGGUUGUAAAGCCCUUUUGUUGGGAAAGAAAUCCAUCUGGUUAAUACCCGGGUGGGAUGACGGUACCCAAAGAAUAAGCACCGGCUAACUUCGUGCCAGCCGCCGCCGUAA